rnacentral:rRNA from 1 species
GACGAACGCUGGCGGCGUGCUUAACACAUGCAAGUCGAACGGAAAGGCCCUGCGUUUGUGGUGUGCUCGAGUGGCGAACGGGUGAGUAACACGUGAGUAACCUGCCCUUGACUUUGGGAUAACUUCAGGAAACUGGGGCUAAUACCGGAUAGGAGCUCCUGCUGCAUGGUGGGGGUUGGAAAGUUUCGGCGGUUGGGGAUGGACGCGCGGCUUAUCAGCUUGUUGGUGGGGUAGUGGCUUACCAAGGCUUUGACGGGUAGCCGGCCUGAGAGGGUGACCGGGCACCUUGGGCCUGCGAGACGGACCAGACUCGUACGGGAGGCAGCAGUGGGGAAUCUUACACAAUGGGCGGACGCCUGAUGCAGCAACGCCGGGUGCGGGAUGACGGCCUUCGGGUUGUAAACCGCUUUCGCCUGUGACGACGCGUGAGUGACGGUAAUGGGUAAAGAAGCACCGGCUAACUACGUG